rnacentral:rRNA from 1 species
GACGAACGCUGGCGGCGUGCUUAACACAUGCAAGUCGAACGGAAAGGCCCUGCUUUUGUGGGGUGCUCGAGUGGCGAACGGGUGAGUAACACGUGAGUAACCUGCCCUUGACUUUGGGAUAACUUCAGGAAACUGGGGCUAAUACCGGAUAGGAGCUCCCGCUGCAUGGUGGGGGUUGGAAAGUUUCGGCGGUUGGGGAUGGACUCGCGGCUUAUCAGCUUGUUGGUUGGGGAGUGGCUUACCCAGGCUUUGACCGGUAGCCGGCCUGAGAGGGUGACCGGCCACAUUGGGACUGAGAGACGGCCCAGACUCCUACGGGAGGCAGCAGUGGGGAAUAUUGCACAAUGGGAGGAAGUCUGAUGCAGCAACGCCGCGGGCGGGAUGACGGCCUGCGGGGUGUAAACCGCUUUCGCCUGUGACGAAGCGUGAGUGACGGUAAUGGGUAAAGAAGCACCGGCUAACUACGUG